GAUGAAGAACGUAGCGAAAUGCGAUAAGUAAUGCGAAUUGCAGAAUUCAGUGAGUCAUCGAAUCUUUGAACGCACAUUGCGCCCUGUGGUAUUCCGCAGGGCAUGCCUGUUCGAGCGUCAUUUCAACCCUCAAGCUCUGCUUGGUGUUGGGCCCUGCCCGCUGCGGCCGGCCCUAAAGACAGUGGCGGUGCCGCCUGGCCCUGAGCGUAAUACAUCUCUCGCUCCAGUGCCCGGUGGUAGCCUGCCAGAACCCCAACUCUCGUGGUUGACCUCGGAUCAGGUAGGGAUACCCGCUGAACUUAAGCAUAUCAAUAAGCGGAGGA
rnacentral:misc_RNA from 1 species